CAGUCAAUUGUAAGGAGCACAGUUCUGGAACCACAGCUUCUGGGGAAGGAGGAGUCCUAUCUGUCGUAUCUACCAGCAACCCUCGACGUUAUCGAGAGAGAGUCUAGGAAUUCAAUUUGUCAUUGGAAGAAUCUUCUGGAAGGAGAGAGGACAGUAGACAAGAGGCCCCGGUUUUCCUGUCAGAGAUCUCUGAGAAUAUUUGAGGGCCCCCUGCACAAGCGAUAUGAGACUGCCUGCCUUGUGUGAGCCUUGGAUGAGCCCUGCAGCUCCUUCGAGAUGCUCCUUGGAUAUUCCUGAUGGAGAAGACCAACCCCGAGGAAGCUUGGUCCUGCUUGCGAUGAGCUUGCUGUGCUUUCACGGACACCCUUCGUUUCUUCUACCAGUUUUCAGUGCCAGGGUGCGCUUGAAAGGAGAGCUGAUGCCAGGGCUAUAGCCUUCCCCAGCCAGAGCAUGUGGGCCAAACCCUUUCUGGAUGGCUAGGCAGUGGGGAGAAGCCAUGAGAUGGUUGAGAAGUAGUCACAACUCCCCUGGGGACAGACUGGUUUUCAGGGUUACAUCCAUUCAAAAACACCCCCCGGAAUUCAGGCUUGUGAAAGACAAGCUAACUUGACCCUGUUCCUUUGUUCUCACUGAGGUCCUGUCCCUGGCAUCCCCUUCCUCCUGUGGACACCACUGAGGUGCAGACACUACCCCGAUGGGGCUUCCCGUCCUGCUGUUCGGCUCUGGAAGAGACUUGAUUCCUUUUCUUUUUGUGCUGGUGGAGAUCACACACAAAAGGGAUGAUGCCGGUGGCGGACAGGAAGCCCAGCUCCUGCCGCCUGGAUGACUCUUCCCUUGGUGGGGACCAAUCCUGGAUGGAAUCAGUUCAAGAUGGAUGCCAGCUUCAUACAAGAGCCCUAUCAGGAUUGGCCUGAGAGAGAAGUGCUAUCAGCUACUAAAAGUGAAUACUAAAUGGCCUAUCUAUGUCAGAGGGAAGCCCAAAGCCCAGGAAGAAAUGAUGGACCAGAAACAACAGGACAUGCUCGUAAGGAAGACUUGCUGCAUGGUGGAUGGCCCAGAGACGGCGGGGCUCACAGAUGGUCACGUUUAGUGCUUGCAGAUUGGUAAUGCCUGUGCCCUUGGCUUUGUUUAUUCUGGUCAACCAGUUGUCAGUGCUGCCAUCGAGGGCUUUCUGGACAGCAUGGCACCUUCCGUAAGGAGACCUUGGCUUCAGUAGCUAGUCCAGAGAUGAGACAGUGGGAGUGGAGGAUCACCUGGGAUCAUGUAGAGCUCAAUGAACCUUCUCUUGAUUCAUAUGAGGAUGCUAGUAGCCUUGGUUGGGCUUUUCUGCAGUGGGACUUUUAUAGUCCCCUCAGGACCUUGAUGUGACUAACCAUAUGUGCACCAUUGAGAAAUGCAAGUCCCCAUUCACAUACCCCAGGGUCUAUAUACCUGCAGAGGACUUCUGACCUACAGCAAGUGGGCUCCCUUCUCAUCUUGAAAACCUUCCAGUGUGAACUCUAGAACCAAGGAAGACAGAGAAAGGGGACAAUGUCAGCAUCGUUGCAAGGGAGUACCAAAUGCUACCUCUAAGGAUUUCCUGGACAUGAUGGCAACUUGCAGAAAGAUGGCGGUUCAGUCAAGCUGGUAGAGAAGCCAAGUAUGGAUGUUUGGCCACGGACAGUGUGCUUGAGCUAGCUGUAAGUCACCUGGUCGGGUUACCUGAGCAUCUGAUCCACCUGUAGGCCUCUCAUCAGUGGGCCGUGCCAACCUUGGUGAGGCAGCUGUGGCUCUGCCCCCAAGUAUCAGCUUACAAGACUUUGAAAAGAGGUCAUCUUCCGGAAGAGAUGUUGGUGCCAGCACCAUUCAGGGUGUGUGACUGGUUGACCAGAGGGGCGUGCACUCUGUUCACCCUGUGGGCCACCUAGUCACCAACCCUCAGCAUCAAUUCCACUCAAAGAAGACUUUCCAGAGAUCCUACCAAGUUUGGGGAUAUGUCAAUGGACUUGAUGGCUGUGCCUGCUCAGUGGACCAGGAUGAACUGUGGUCUUAGGGGUGUAUGUUUACAUAAGAUGCCAUGAGGCAUCCGUGGUAGCUGCUGCAUCACUGUCACAGCCUCCUUGAAAUGUUGACUUCAGAUGUGGACAUGAUGUUGACUUCCCAUGAGGGACCUGAAGUCCCUUCUCUCCUGGGAGAGUCUGUGAGAUGAUACCAACCUCUAGAAGCAGGCAUGGUUGUCCCGACAUCGCCACACUACCACAGGAGCUUCCAGAAUACAUUCUCUUCAUGGAAACUGUGGAACCACGCCCCCUCUGGUCCAGGAGGACUAACCAGAUUCAAGGCUAUCACCAUCCCCCUUCAGGACAGUGGAAGCAGCCACCUUUUCGAGAGAGUCGAUGUGUUCUUCACCAGUGUUCUUCGCCAGUGAUCAUGUGUGAUACUUGGAGAGAGGCUGGCCGUGAUGAAUUCGAUUCAUCUAAACGAGUCAUACACGGCUCUCCUCUCUUCUAGUGUCAAACUCUGCCUCAGAGGUCUUCUCAAGCCACUACUGUUCCCAAGGAUGCCUAAUUGCAAUGCCAGCUUCUGGGGUGAACAUGGACCCACUGUCAUCGGGCAAGGUCUAGGAUGGACAUGGAGACCCACCAUCUGGGAGAUUCCAGAGUGGACGUGAACCCACCAUCAUCAGAGAGCUUCAUGGAGUAUUCAGAAGCUGGCGGGUGUCACCUGGAGGAUGUGACUGGGUACCAGUGCCAGAGCACGUGCCCACUGAGCAGUCUUCUUCACUUUCCUCGAUCCUCAUGAAACAUUCCGGGAUCUUUACCUCAAAGGACUCCAGAGGCUACAUCAUUGUCUUGGAACUGGUCAGUGGCUGGAGCUCUCUCCAGGACAAGUGCUUGGAGGAAGAACCUGGACAAGCUUCCCUCCCUAUACUGUUGACUGGAUCUUGUAGCUACCGUUAGCCACCAUCAUCGCCAUUGUGUGCCUCUUAGGAGCAUUUCCAGGAGGUGAUGCCAGCUGGGGAAAGAGCCUCUGUCCCACAGCCGUCGGUGCCCGCUGCAGCCUGCGCCCAGGAUGUCACAGCCUCAGCUCAACACCUCUGCUGGACAGCUUCAGGUGGUGAUUCCAGCUCCAGGGUUGCUGCGGUCAACACUGGGUACUUGAGGAGAGGUUGUCUGUGAUGAGUUCGCUUUAUUAAUGACGAAUAUAACACAGAUGGCCUGUUUUCAAUACCACCUGCCACUCCGGUCACUCGGCAGUACAUACCAGGUGUCACACCACUGCCCGGCAGGUGACAACGCUGAAUUGGUCCUCAGGAGCGGAUGUUCAAGGAACCCUGCCUAUGCACCAUGCUAGCUGCCAGUCCUAGGUUGGGACAUUCCACUGGGGACAUCCAUGGGAGAGCUAUGGCCAUUAACAAGUCCUGAGCCCUGACCUGAAGCCAUCAGUGGCCUAGCUGCUCUACCUGACUUUGUGGCCUCCCUUCCUGGAUCUCUCGCUUACGACAACCGACAACAAAGAUGUUUGACUCCAGAAGAUGCUCCCCGCGGCCCACCUGAGAGGACUGUCCACACCCCACCCCACUGCGCCCUGUGCCAUCUACCUCUGAGUCCCCAACUUCUCACCCAUGUUUCAACUCCCACCCCAGAGCCUUGUAUUCCAGAUCUGAGCAGCCCUUGCUUAGGAACCUGAGGUGGGGGGUGGGUAGGCAGACCCAGGGGACUGAGCAGGGAGGGGAAGGAGGGGUUUCUGCUCUUGGCUUUCAAAGUUCUCAGUGUGUGUAGCCCUUUGAAUAAUAAACAUAUGUCAUAUAAUGUAAAAAAAAAAAAAAAAAAA
rnacentral:lncRNA from 1 species